rnacentral:rRNA from 1 species
AUUGAACGCUGGCGGAAUGCUUUACACAUGCAAGUCGAACGGCAGCAUAGGUGCUUGCACCUGAUGGCGAGUGGCGAACGGGUGAGUAAUACAUCGGAACGUGCCCAGUCGUGGGGGAUAACGUAGCGAAAGUUACGCUAAUCCCGCAUACGAUCUAAGGAUGUAAGCGGGGGACCGUAAGGCCUCGCGCGAUUGGAGCGGCCGAUGCCAGAUUAGGUAGUUGGUGAGGUAAAGGCUCACCAAGCCGACGAUCUGUAGCUGGUCUGAGAGGGGGACCAGCCACACUGGGAGUGAGACACGGUCCAGACUCCUACGGGAGGCAGCACUGGGGAAUUUUGGACAAUGGACGCAAGUCUGAUCCAGCCAUUCCGCGUGCAGGACGAAGGCCUUCGGGUUGUAAUCUGCGUUUGUACGGAACGAAAAAGCUCUUACUAUUACUAGGAGUCCAUGACGGUACCGUAAGAAUAAGCACCGGCUAAUUACGUGCCAGCCACCGCGGUAA